GGUUCCGUGGUGUAGUGGUUAUCACAACUGCUUCACACGCAGAAGGCCGCAGGUUCGAUCUCGGCCGGAAUCA